rnacentral:rRNA from 1 species
CGGAGUAAAGUAGCUUGCUAUUUUACUUAGUGGCGCACGGGUGAGUAAUGUAUAGCUAACCUGCCCUUUAGUGGGGGACAACAGUUGGAAACGACUGCUAAUACCCCAUACUCCUUCUUAUCAUAAGGUAAGUUGGGAAAGAUUUAUUGCUAAAGGAUGGGGCUUUAUGGUAUCAGCUAGUUGGUGGGGUAAUGGCCUACCAAGGCGAUGACGCCUACCUGGUCUGAGAGGAUGAUCAGGCACACUGGAACUGAGACACGGUCCAGACUCCUACGGGAGGCAGCAGUGGGGAAUAUUGCACAAUGGGGGAAACCCUGAUGCAGCAACGCCGCGUGGAGGAUGACGCAUUUCGGUGUGUAAACUCCUUUUAUAAGGGAAGAUAAUGACGGUACCUUAUGAAUAAGCACCGGCUAACUCCGUGCCAGCAGCCGCGGUAAUACGGAGGGUGCAAGCGUUACUCGGAAUCACUGGGCGUAAAGGAUGCGUAGGCUGGAGAUCAAGUCAGGAGUGAAAUCCAACGGCUCAACCGUUGAACUGCUCCUGA